UACGUAGGGAGCAAGCGUUGUCCGGAAUCAUUGGGCGUAAAGCGCGCGUAGGCGGCCCGGUAAGUCCGUUGUGAAAGUCAAAGGCUCAACCUUUGAAAGCCGAUGGAUACUGCCGGGCUAGAGUCCGGAAGAGGCGAGUGGAAUUCCUGGUGUAGCGGUGGAAUGCGCAGAUAUCAGGAGGAACACCCAUAGCGAAGGCAGCUCGCUGGGACGGUACUGACGCUAAGGCGCGAAAGCGUGGGGAGCGAACAGG
rnacentral:rRNA from 1 species